GAAUUGUCAAGUCGAACGAAUCUAAGAGGGAGCUUGCUUCCACUUAGGUUAGUGGCGGACGGGUGAGUAACGCGUGAGUAACCUGCCUUUCAGAGGGGGAUAACGUCUGGAAACGGACGAUAAUACCGCAUAACAUUUCGAAGUCACAUGGCUUUGAAAUCAAAGGAGUAAUCCACUGAAAGAUGGACUCGCGUCCGAUUAGCUAGUUGGUGAGAUAAUAGCCCACCAAGGCGACGAUCGGUAGCCGGGUUGAGAGACUGAACGGCCACAUUGGGACUGAGACACGGCCCAGACUCCUACGGGAGGCAGCAGUGGGGGAUAUUGCACAAUGGAGGAAACUCUGAUGCAGCAACGCCGCGUGAGGGAAGACGGUUUUCGGAUUGUAAACCUCUGUCUUUUGGGAAGAUAAUGACGGUACCUAAAGAGGAAGCUCCGGCUAACUACGUGCCAGCAGCCGCGGUAAUACGUAGGGAGCAAGCGUUGUCCGGAUUUACUGGGUGUAAAGGGUGCGUAGGCGGCUUAGCAAGUCAGGCGUGAAAACUAUGGGCUUAACCCAUAGACUGCGUUUGAAACUGUUGAGCUUGAGUGAAGUAGAGGUAGGCGGAAUUCCCGGUGUAGCGGUGAAAUGCGUAGAGAUCGGGAGGAACACCAGUGGCGAAGGCGGCCUACUGGGCUUUAACUGACGCUGAGGCACGAAAGCAUGGGGUAGCAAACAGGAUUAGAUACCCUGGUAGUCCAUGCCGUAAACGAUGAUUACUAGGGUGUGGGGGGUCUGACCCCUUCCGUGCCGGAGUUAACACAAUAAGUAAUCCACCUGGAGAAGUACGACCGCAAGGUUGAAACUCAAAGGAAUUGACGGGGGGCCCGCACAAGCAGUGGUGUAUGUGGGU
rnacentral:rRNA from 1 species